CACGAUUCCGUCACAAUCAUGACGUUACACUCCCUGAUCCAUCUCUGUGUAGUGGUCCAUAGUCGCAGCUCGUCCAUUUUGCCCGCUAGAGCCCGGACGUUGGCAAGAAACAAGCUGGGAACCGCCGAUCGGUGGGGGCUUAGCCUUAGCUUAGCACGUAGCCCCCCUCGCUUACCCCGCUUUUGUUUGCGUUCUGCGCGCCGGCGCCGGCUGCGCUCCGUUGGGGGAGCAGGCUGCGUUGCCCACGGUACUGCUGAGAUUUCCCGAGGGAGUUCUAGAUGGUUCAAAACUCUGUUGUUGCAGGUCAUGGUCCUGGCCAUCCUGAUGAGUGCUGUUUCAGCUUCAGCGAUAUUAAAAUUCCCCCCAAACGAAUCAUAAAAGUGGAAAAAACACGUUCUGACUGCCCACAGCCAGGCUACAUUGUUACUACGGUCAAGAACAAGUUCUGCAAGCAUGACAUAAAGGAAUUGACCAUUUGAAGACUAUAUUCCAGCACUGCAGCUUCUAUGUAACCCAAAUGCAACAUCUAAAGUGCAUGAAAAGUUGAUUUGCUCCUAUAUUCACCAUAUUGUGAAUUAUACUAUCGAUGCUUUUUACUGCUGUGGAUCCAAAUAACAGAAUAAAAUGAUGCAAGUGAACCGUUUCCAUCGUCUCAUUAUUACGAGUAAGACAGCAGCGCUGC
ensembl:lncRNA